UUUCAGCUGCAGCCAGCUCCUCAGCCGCAACACCCAGUACCAAAGAUGAAGUCAGUGUGCUGUUGAAAAAAGUGCAGGAUCUAUUCAACCAAAAAUAUAAGGAGGCUGGAGGUGUUGGAAGGCUCCCCUACCGGUCCCUGGUGAAUCAAAGGGUGACCAUAAAUGUUGCUGGGCUGCCCAAUGGUCUUACCCUCAAGAAGCCAUCCUUUUAUGGAAGCCAUUUUAAAAGCUGCUGAGCAUAUUUCAUUUGAAAUAAAUGCAGCACAAUGCCACCCCACUGACACAGCAGAGGGAAGUUCAGAACACAUCAACGCAGAAUGUGCACAGCAGAUGGAAGAGGAAUCCUCAGAAACAACCAGUAAUGUAGCCGUGCUGAUGACUGCAGAUGAAGGUAUCUAAACUGUGGUUAUUUUUAUUCAACCAGGAAGUCUCAUUGAGACUAAUCUCUUUUUUUAAGGGAGACCUGGCCAAGAUUGUAUUCAGUAUAGAUAAAAACAAGUAGUUUUAGACAGAUUCCAAUACUACAAUAGGAACAGCUAUGGGAACAGAGGCAUAGACGAACUAAAGAUCCAAUUUUUUUCAUUUUGGAUAGAAAAGCUUUUAGAAAGAUGCAAUUUUAAGUCUUUCAGGAGCAGAUUCAAGGCAGAAAGUGCAGAAUACAUAAACACCCCUUUUCCACUCUGUGGACAGACAUAAGGGACCUAAAGCAUAAAAACAUCUUGAGACAAAGGAUGUUGCCCAGUACAGUUCUUUAAAAUACAAACUCCGAGCUAGCAGGGAGUCGUGCAUCAUAGUAAUAAAUAUUAAACUUCAAUUUCAGCUCAAGUUCAGCUCUGUACAUAGUGAAAUUAUAUUUGCUGCUCUCCUUUGAAAUAUUUAAAAUACGGAGCUCAGAAACCUGAUGAGGAGCAUUUAGCUGUUUGGAUUCUUUGUGCCUUAAUCAUUACUUCUAAAUUUAUGUAGAUCAGAGUCUGAAAAUGAUUGAUUCUUAGAGAGAAAAUCAGAAAUGGCUGAACAUAUCAGUCUAUUUAAUAAUAUAUAUGUAAUAUUAGUAAUUAGGAUAACGUUCAUGAUGUAGUCUGUAUAAAAACUAUGCAAUAUGAGUUUGUGUCUCAGUUAAUUGUUUUUCAUGUAGUCACCAUAAGGGCUAUGACAUUUUAAACAAAUACAAUAAAGAUUUUUGCCAAAAACAACAUGAUAGAGGCCCAUUUCAGAAAGCAGGUUCAACAGUGAACUGGUUUAUUGUCACAAUACAACAGGUUGGAGAGUGAAAUUGAGUUUUGUAACUCGCGACUCUGUACGCAGGAUAAGCAGCUGACGAUGGAUGGAUGGAACUCUUUAAUGCUACAUAGCCUACAAUGCACAUUAAUAAAGAAUCAACUCUGAUCAGUUUAUUUACCCUGAGAUCCAGAACAGCUGAUCUGAGUUUGUUUAAUCAACUCAGAGUAGGUUCACUCUCAGUCAAGCGUGUGCACCACCGCUCUAAACAGGCAACAUAAAUUGAGCCACGAUACUACGAUUCACCAUGGCAACAGCUAAAAAAAUCAUUCCUCAUACUUCACACGUCUGGAGUUGGAAAUCCUCAGGCAAAACAUAUGCAGAGUUUUUCUUCUUAAAAAGUGAAUAUAGUCUAUUUAAUUUAUAUUUAAUCACAUAUUCCAGGUGAACUGGAAUGAGAUUUAACAUAAUGUUUUCAUUUAGCUGCAAUUCUGGAUAGAACAGAUGUGAAAGAAGCUAAAAUUGAAAUAUAAGAACAAAGUAGUGAUGAGAUUUCUGAAUUGAAAAUCGGGGACCUUUCUGGGGACAGAAAACCAAAAACGGGGACGUCUGGUCAGUGGUCACCUUAUUUUAGUCUGCCUAACAGACUUCAUUAAAAAAUGCUGAUCAUUUUUAUUGACACGGAUGGUAAAACUCUUAAAUGAAGUAAUGAGGAAACAGCGCUGUGUCAGAGGGAGGAGACUGAGAAACUCCAGGUUUAUUGAAGAAAAAAGUUCACUCUCAGUUACCGUUGUAACUGACAGAGCUAAAGUUAGCUCGCUUUCUGAAAGGCUCUGAAACAGAAAACCAAGAGUUUACCUCAUUUCAGGGUGAAACUCAAGAGUUUUCAUUAAACCCGCUUUCAUAUAUGGGCCCCAGGAACCCUUCUUUGUUGACCUGCUUGUAUCUUAUUAUACAGCAUCAGCAAGAUCUGAGAUGGUGGGUGUCAGUUCUGGUGAACUGAUGUGCAAUAUCCACAUUUUAAUUUGGCAGCAGUUGGAAAUGAAAAGCUUACUUUGAAACAUUGCUUUGAAUAUGUCGAUUUCAGCAAACUGGUUUCACCUCCAAAAUAUUUUAGUUUUUCCUUUGGUAGAUCGAGGCAGUUUGCGCUGUGUCUGCCACAUCCAUUUGAUGACAAGAAGAAGAACGCUACAAAGAAGUGGCGUUCAUGGUCGCAGUGCACAGUGUGCCAACUGUGGUCACACACUGCAUGUGGAUUUAAAAGCAACAUGUGUCUUCACUGCCAGUGUCAAACCUCCAUGCACACACGCUGACCUUUUGCAUCAGUGUUAGGAAACAUGUAAUGUUUACUGCUUUCCAAGGUUUAGUUUAAGUUGUUUGAGUUUUCUUACUGUGUUGACAGGCCCCACCCCCUCCCUACACACACACACACACACACACACACACACACACACACAUACGUGCACACUUCCAACACUGCACAAGUAUGUUUUUAUUAAAAAUGAAAUUUAUAUGAAUCUCGGCGCUACAUAUAUUUUCAUUCAGCCUGAUUAAGAUUCCUUUUAUUUAUUGUUGGUGUUUGUUGGCCCCGUCGAUGUGGUCCCUGUUUAAACUGUGCCAUGUGGGGAACUAAAUAAAGUUCUACUGAACUGAGUACAUGUGUUGUAAAUGAAAAGCCUAUUUGUUCAUAAAUCUCUGUUGAUGUUGAUAUGAUUAGACGCUUCACAUCGGCCUGAUGGAUUUUUCACAGUCCUACACAUGAUGGUUAGAAUUUCCUGUUGCAUUGUCACUGGUAGGUAUUUGGUAAAAUGGAUUUUAAGAAGAUGUUUUAUGUCAGAGCAGUAGUGACACUUUGUCAUUCAGUUGAAGACUACAGUUUAUUUUUUAAACUUUAAAUGUAAUAGAUGCAUAAUUCAACAAUA